UCCUCUCCUCUCCUCUCAGGCGAUGAAACUAGGGUUUUAUCACUGAAAUCGUAUUAGCCAAGAAACCAUCACAGAAAUCUUUUCAUUAGAAUUCAAUCAUCUAUAUGUGUAAGUAUGAAUCUUUUCAAUAGCCUUCAAUCAUCGAUCUGUAUGAGUUUUACGAUUUUUAGGGUUUCAUUUUUUUUUUUGCAGUCGAUCUGUUUUUUAGGGCUUCAUUUCAUCAUUUUUAUUGGGGAUUCAUUUCAAUCGAUCUGUUUCAUCUUAGUUUCUUUUUGUUAAUCUUCUUUAUAUAAAUCUAAUUCGAUUUUUUUUUCUAAUUUUCUGUUAGGGUUUGAAGAAUUACUUAAAGGUGGAGUCGCGAUACGUACCCAUCGAUUUCCUCCACUUAUACCAUGGGGAUAAGUUCUUGCAGAAGGACAUCAUGAUGUUGUUGUCGGUGACGUUUCAUUGAAGGAAGAUGAAGAUAACUCAUUGACCCAAACCCAAUUGGGUUUUUUACACCAUACAAAUCGAAAGAAAAAGGCUUCAAUAAAGAUCAUGGAUCGUCAAAAUGGGGUUUUGAGAAUUAAGGAUUUUGUUAGUUUAAACGAGCAUAAUUAGGAGCUGUAACAGUUUCAGGGGGAGGUGCUUUUGUAGGGGCUUAAGUAGAUUCUGAAGCAGAGGCUGAGAAUGAAGACGAAUUCGACAAAUUAAAUUCAGAAGUGAAUGAUUAAGAUGAUGAAAAGAUGAGAGUGGUGGAGAGAAUAUUGGAGCAACAGGGUCUCGAAGAAGAAGAGCUUUAAGAGAGAUGGAGGCAUUCAUAUUUUGAAGGAUAAACAAGUUCUUCAACAUCUCACCGAGACUGUUGAGAAAGCAAAGAUGGAACAAAAUGACAAUGGAGCUAAAAAAGUUGUUUUGAUAAGUGGAUCACCUGGCAUUGGAAAGAGUACAUCAGCAAAACUGGUUAUCCAGAUGCUUGGCUUCCAGGCAUAAAGGUCAAUGCUAGUAACAGCCGGGGAAAAGAUGACUCGAAAAAUUGAUGGAAGCAUGGCAAACUCUAUAAAAGAACUUGUCAGCAAUGAAUCUUUGAGUGUUAAGAUGGAACGGUCAAAACAUCAAAAGACUGUGUUGAUUAUGGAUGAAAUUGAUGGCAUGUCCUCCGGAGAUAGGGGUGGGGUGGCUGACCUUAUUGCCAGCAUCAAAUUUCCAAAAUCCCGAUCAUCUGUAUUUGCACUGACCGUCAUAGUCAGGAACUGAAAAGUAUUCUCAACUACUGUUUACUUCUCAACUACAGGAAACCAACAAAACUACAGAUGGCAAAGAGGUUAAUGCAAGUUGCAAUUGCAGACGGCAUCAAGGGUGACGAGUUUCAGGUCACUUAUUGUUACCUACUUGAUUCAUCUAAUGAUACCUCAUCAGUUUGCUUUACUACGAGUUCAGACUUUCCAUGAGCGUUUUUUCUUCGGAUUCUAUGAUGAUCUUAUUUGCUGCUGAUCCUAACCACUCAACAAACAGAUGGUCUUCAAGUUUAUAAUGAGGAAUAACACAAAGGCGCAGGGGACUAUGUAUGAGGAUAAAAGGUUGAUGAGAGAGUUAGAAACUCGAGGAGAAAUCGAGCAGUAGAGUAAGGAAAUAGAGAAUGCAAUGGCUUAAUUGGGGAGGUUACUUAUCUAUGAAGCAUCAAGGGAUUGGUUGAGAUUGGUUGGUGAAAUAGCUUAGUUCCUACUCUAUGUAGACUAGAAGCAUGUGAUUUUGUUUGCAUAGAGCUUCAGAGAUGGAGAUACUUCUCAAAUUUGCUUGGACCUUGAAGAGUGAUUACAGGGGCCAUAAGUUGUUGGGAAUAGCAAAAUGAGUUGCAGCUGGGAUUGCAUAGAGAUGAACAUUGUAGGGAAGUGCAUCACCAGCAGCAGCUCAACAUCACCUGCUCCUUCUAGAGUGUAUAUGAUGAUAUUACAGUUGAGAUUGGUUGAUGUGUAGAGUGUACGGAUGCUUAAAUUGAAUGGGUUGCUUCUGAAAUAAGCUGCAGAGAUGAUGUUUCUGCUAAGAAAGUGAUAUGUGACCAAAUAUAGUGCUAACUUGUGAAACUUCAUCUUACCUGGUUGCAGUUAACUAGGCUCCUAAAAAAGAGAAAUAUGCUUCCAGGAGAGGGAUUCUCCCUAUGCUUCAAGACGAAGAGGAUGAAAGGAUUGCCUACAGCGACUUUUCUGAUGCUCAAGCUUUCAACAAAGCAAGCCUGCAAAGGAUAUAAUGAACUAGCUGUUGUUAUUUGAAUGAUGCUUUAUUUCAUCAGAAAGAGUGGAGAACAAAGGAGCUCCAAGAUUUGUAAGUUCCAUGUAUUCAAGUUUGUAUUUGUUCCGUUAGAAAUUUGGAACCUUCCAUGUAUUCCUUGAGAAAUUUGAUACUUAACAAAAACAAAAAAAGUUUAGUACUUGGAGAAAUUUCAGUUUUUUUGUUGUAUGAACCUGAGAUGAAUUGAAUGAAUGUUAUUUUGCUUAGAUUGAAG